rnacentral:tRNA from 1 species
AGAAACAUGAUGAUCAAAAAAAAGCUGCUAACUUUUAUUUUUAAUGGUUAAAUUCCAUUUAUGUUUCUA